AUUGAACGCUGGCGGCAUGCCUUACACAUGCAAGUCGAACGGCAGCACGGGUGCUUGCACCUGGUGGCGAGUGGCGAACGGGUGAGUAAUACAUCGGAACAUGUCCUGUAGUGGGGGAUAGCCCGGCGAAAGCCGGAUUAAUACCGCAUACGAUCCACGGAUGAAAGCGGGGGACCUUCGGGCCUCGCGCUAUAGGGUUGGCCGAUGGCUGAUUAGCUAGUUGGUGGGGUAAAGGCCUACCAAGGCGACGAUCAGUAGCUGGUCUGAGAGGACGACCAGCCACACUGGGACUGAGACACGGCCCAGACUCCUACGGGAGGCAGCAGUGGGGAAUUUUGGACAAUGGGCGAAAGCCUGAUCCAGCAAUGCCGCGUGUGUGAAGAAGGCCUUCGGGUUGUAAAGCACUUUUGUCCGGAAAGAAAUCCUUGGCUCUAAUACAGUCGGGGGAUGACGGUACCGGAAGAAUAAGCACCGGCUAGCUACGUG
rnacentral:rRNA from 1 species